rnacentral:rRNA from 1 species
UACGUAGGUGGCAAGCGUUGUCCGGAUUUACUGGGCGUAAAGAGCGCGCAGGCGGUCGUUCAAGUCGCGUGUGAAAGCCCCCGGCUCAACUGGGGAGGGUCACGCGAUACUGAUCGACUCGAAGGCAGGAGAGGGUAGUGGAAUUCCCGGUGUAGUGGUGAAAUGCGUAGAUAUCGGGAGGAACACCAGUGGCGAAGGCGGCUCUCUGGACCGUAACUGACGCUGAGGCGCGAAAGCGUGGGGAGCAAACAGG